rnacentral:rRNA from 1 species
GACGAACGCUGGCGGCGUGCUUAACACAUGCAAGUCGAACGGAAAGGCCCUGCUUUUGUGGGGUGCUCGAGUGGCGAACGGGCGAGUAACACGUGAGUAACCUGCCCUUGACUUUGGGAUAACUUCAGGAAACUGGGGCUAAUACCGGAUAGGAGCUCCUGCUGCAUGGUGGGGGUUGGAAAGUUUCGGCGGUUGGGGAUGGACUCGCGGCUUAUUAGCUUGUUGGUGGGGUAGUGGCUUACCAAGGCUUUGACGGGUAGCCGGCCUGAGAGGGUGACCGGCCACAGUGGGACUGUGAUACGGCCCAGACUCCUACGGGAGGCAGCAGGGGGGAAUAUUGCACAAUGGGCGGAAGCCUGAUGCAGCAACGCCGCGUGCGGGAUGACGGCCUUCGGGUUGUAAACCGCUUUCGCCUGUGACGAAGCGUGAGUGACGGUAAUGGGUAAAGAAGCACCGGCUAACUACGUG